rnacentral:rRNA from 1 species
UACGGAGGAUGCGAGCGUUAAGCGGAAUUACUGGGCGUAAAGCGCGCGUAGGUGGUUCGAUAAGUCGGAUGUGAAAUCCCCGGGCUUAACCUGGGAAUUGCAUUUGAUACUGUCAAACUAGAGUGUGGUAGAGGUAAGCGGAAUUCCCGGUGUAUCGGUGAAAUGCGUAGAUAUCGGGAGGAACAUCAGUGGCGAAGGCGGCUUACUGGACCAACACUGACACUGAAGCGCGAAAGCGUGGGUAGCAAACAGG